rnacentral:rRNA from 1 species
UGAGAGUUUGAUCCUGGCUCAGGACGAACGCUGGCGGCGUGCCUAAUACAUGCAAGUAGAACGCUGAAGAGAGGAGCUUGCUCUUCUUGGAUGAGUUGCGAACGGGUGAGUAACGCGUAGGUAACCUGCCUUGUAGCGGGGGAUAACUAUUGGAAACGAUAGCUAAUACCGCAUAACAAUGGAUGACACAUGUCAUUUAUUUGAAAGGGGCAAUUGUUCCACUACAAGAUGGACCUGCGUUGUAUUAGCUAGUAGGUGAGGUAAUGGCUCACCUAGGCGACGAUACAUAGCCGACCUGAGAGGGUGAUCGGCCACACUGGGACUGAGACACGGCCCAGACUCCUACGGGAGGCAGCAGUAGGGAAUCUUCGGCAAUGGGGGCAACCCUGACCGAGCAACGCCGCGUGAGUGAAGAAGGUUUUCGGAUCGUAAAGCUCUGUUGUAAGUCAAGAACGGGUGUGAGAGUGGAAAGUUCACACUGUGACGGUAGCUUACCAGAAAGGGACGGCUAACUACGUGCCAGCAGCCGCGGUAAUACGUAGGUCCCGAGCGUUGUCCGGAUUUAUUGGGCGUAAAGCGAGCGCAGGCGGUUUGAUAAGUCUGAAGUUAAAGGCUGUGGCUCAACCAUAGUUCGCUUUGGAAACUGUCAAACUUGAGUGCAGAAGGGGAGAGUGGAAUUCCAUGUGUAGCGGUGAAAUGCGUAGAUAUAUGGAGGAACACCGGUGGCGAAAGCGGCUCUCUGGUCUGUAACUGACGCUGAGGCUCGAAAGCGUGGGGAGCGAACAGGAUUAGAUACCCUGGUAGUCCACGCCGUAAACGAUGAGUGCUAGGUGUUGGAUCCUUUCCGGGAUUCAGUGCCGCAGCUAACGCAUUAAGCACUCCGCCUGGGGAGUACGACCGCAAGGUUGAAACUCAAAGGAAUUGACGGGGGCCCGCACAAGCGGUGGAGCAUGUGGUUUAAUUCGAAGCAACGCGAAGAACCUUACCAGGUCUUGACAUCCCGAUGCUAUUUCUAGAGAUAGAAAGUUACUUCGGUACAUCGGUGACAGGUGGUGCAUGGUUGUCGUCAGCUCGUGUCGUGAGAUGUUGGGUUAAGUCCCGCAACGAGCGCAACCCCUAUUGUUAGUUGCCAUCAUUCAGUUGGGCACUCUAGCGAGACUGCCGGUAAUAAACCGGAGGAAGGUGGGGAUGACGUCAAAUCAUCAUGCCCCUUAUGACCUGGGCUACACACGUGCUACAAUGGUUGGUACAACGAGUUGCGAGUCGGUGACGGCGAGCUAAUCUCUUAAAGCCAAUCUCAGUUCGGAUUGUAGGCUGCAACUCGCCUACAUGAAGUCGGAAUCGCUAGUAAUCGCGGAUCAGCACGCCGCGGUGAAUACGUUCCCGGGCCUUGUACACACCGCCCGUCACACCACGAGAGUUUGUAACACCCGAAGUCGGUGAGGUAACCUUUUGGAGCCAGCCGCCUAAGGUGGGACAGAUGAUUGGGGUGAAGUCGUAACAAGGUAGCCGUAUCGGAAGGUGCGGCUGGAUCACCUCCUUU